rnacentral:snRNA from 1 species
GAAGCCUAUUCUAUAAGGGACCA